AGUGAACGCUGGCGGUAGGCCUAACACAUGCAAGUCGAACGGCAGCACAGUAAGAGCUUGCUCUUACGGGUGGCGAGUGGCGGACGGGUGAGGAAUACAUCGGAAUCUACUUUUUCGUGGGGGAUAACGUAGGGAAACUUACGCUAAUACCGCAUACGACCUACGGGUGAAAGCAGGGGAUCUUCUGACCUUGCGCGAUUGAAUGAGCCGAUGUCGGAUUAGCUAGUUGGCGGGGUAAAGGCCCACCAAGGCGACGAUCCGUAGCUGGUCUGAGAGGAUGAUCAGCCACACGAGAACUGAGACAGGGUCCAGAGUCCUACGGGAGGCAGCAGUGGGGAAUAUGGGACAAUGGGGGCAAGCCUGAUCCAGCCAUACCGCGUGGGUGAAGAAGGCCUUCGGGUUGUAAAGCCCUUUUGUUGGGAAAGAAAAGCAGCAGGUUAAUACCCCGCGGUUCUGACGGUACCCAAAGAAUAAGCACCGGCUAACUUCGUG
rnacentral:rRNA from 1 species